UGGGGAAUAUUGCACAAUGGGCGCAAGCCUGAUGCAGCAACGCCGCGUGAGGGACGACGGCCUUCGGGUUGUAAACCUCUUUUGGCAGGGAAGAAGCGAAAGUGACGGUACCUGCAGAAAAAGCACUGGCUAACUACGUGCCAGCAGCCGCGGUGAUACGUAGGGUGCAAGCGUUGUCCGGAAUUAUUGGGCGUAAAGAGCUCGUAGGCGGUUUGUCGCGUCUGCUGUGAAAACCCGAGGCUCAACCUCGGGCCUGCAGUGGGUACGGGCAAACUAGAGUGCGGUAGGGGAGAGUGGAAUUCCGGGUGUAGCGGUGGAAUGCGCAGAUAUCAGGAGGAACACCUAUGGCGAAGGCAGAUCUCUGGGCCGUAACUGACGCUGAGGAGCGAAAGCAUGGGGA
rnacentral:rRNA from 1 species